UGGCAAGAGAUGGGCAUGCAACAUCGAAGCCCUGGAAUUGCAGAGGCAUUCUCGAUCCAUUUGAAGCUCAGGAUUGCUCCUCCUCCAGCUGCAGCUUUCUCUAGCAUCCUCCUGCUCUUUCCCAUUGCAGCAGCAGCAGUUUCUGUUCCAACUUGUGGCCGGUAACCAUGAAGCGCGGCGUCGCCUCUGUGAUGUGCUUGGUUCUCAUCGUGGCAUCCGCGAUGGCCGUCGCCGCGGACAUAGGUCCAUUUAGGUGCGACAUGAGCAAGCUGAAGCCUUGCUUGGAGGCCACCCAGAAGCCCGGAGUCCCACCCAGCAAGGAAUGCUGCAAAGUCCUCACUGCGCUUUUUCAGGUUAAACCGCAGGUGAUCGCAGCGAACUGCUUGUGCAGACUGGCCACAAGCGCGGAAGCCAGAAAGCUUGGGGUCAUACUGUACCUCGCUCUUUCACUUCCCCAGAAAUGCGGCAUCCGUCUCGAAGCGCAAUAUCCCUGCCCGCCUAAAAACUAAACUCCCGUUACCGAAUAACAAGACGGAUGGGUUUCCGAGGGUCGGCCCGCAAGGAUCCACCGCCACUCGAGCGAAGAUCAUCCGGCUGAGGAUGAGCAGCUGUUCCGUAGCUGCAUGUGUUGUGUGGGAGUGUUGGGGAGUUCGCUUGCAGCGGGUGCUGCAGCUGGACUGAAUAAUCGUAGAGCCCUGCUUUCUAUGAAAUCUAGCUUGCAGUCUGGCUGCUCAGAAUAGCCGUGUUUUCACAUCCACGUUGUUUCUGAAAUUUCAAGGCCAAAUUGCAGAUAGAAUUGCGUGGUCGCACUCUUGCUGUCGA